ACACGUCUACAUUAGAUACCCCUGUAGUCCCAGCCGUAAACUAUGCGCGUUAGGUGUAUCGGUGACCACGAGUUACCGAGGUGCCGAAGGGAAACCGUGAAACGUGCCGCCUGGGAAGUACGGUCGCAAGGCUGAAACUUAAAGGAAUUGGCGGGGAGCACCACAACAGGUGGAGCCUGCGGUUUAAUUGGACUCAACGCCGGGAAGCUCACCGGAUAGGACAGCAGAAUGAUUGCCGGGCUGAAGACCCUGCAUGACUAGCUG
rnacentral:rRNA from 1 species